CCUACGGGUGGCAGCAGUGGGGAAUAUUGCACAAUGGGCGCAAGCCUGAUGCAGCCAUGCCGCGUGUGUGAAGAAGGCCUUCGGGUUGUAAAGCACUUUCAGCGGGGAGGAAGGCGGUGAGGUUAAUAACCUCAUCGAUUGACGUUACCCGCAGAAGAAGCACCGGCUAACUCCGUGCCAGCAGCCGCGGUAAUACGGAGGGUGCAAGCGUUAAUCGGAAUUACUGGGCGUAAAGCGCACGCAGGCGGUCUGUCAAGUCGGAUGUGAAAUCCCCGGGCUCAACCUGGGAACUGCAUUCGAAACUGGCAGGCUAGAGUCUUGUAGAGGGGGGUAGAAUGCCAGGUGUAGCGGUGAAAUGCGUAGAGAUCUGGAGGAAUACCGGUGGCGAAGGCGGCCCCCUGGACAAAGACUGACGCUCAGGUGCGAAAGCGUGGGGAGCAAACAGGAUUAGAUACCCUAGUAGUC
rnacentral:rRNA from 1 species